AACCCCUAAAAAUAACCCAGAUUUGACAGCAGUGCACACCCAUCUGAGGCCGACCUGUUUUACUUCAUGAUCACCCCAGAUACUUCUACAACUAACCCGCUUUGUGUCUGAUGUUGAUGCAGUCUGGGCACUAGUAUCUGUUGGGUUGCUGACUAUCAUUGAAGAUGAAGUACUUCUCCAAAUCUUCUCUGCCUUGACCCUGUGUCUUUUGCCAUCAUU